AUACGGAGGGUGCAAGCGUUACUCGGAAUCACUGGGCGUAAAGCGCGCGCAGGCGGUCUUUUAAGUUGGAUGUGAAGGCCUACGGCUCAACCGUAGAACUGCAUCCAAAACUAUUAGACUAGAGUGUGGGAGAGGAAGAUGGAAUUAGUUGUGUAGGGGUAAAAUCCGUAGAGAUAACUAGGAAUACCAAAAGCGAAGGCGAUCUUCUGGAACAGUACUGACGCUGAGGCGCGAAAGCGUGGGGAGCAAACAGGAUUAGAAACCCUAGUAGUCC
rnacentral:rRNA from 1 species